UACGUAGGGAGCAAGCGUUGUCCGGAAUCAUUGGGCGUAAAGCGCGCGUAGGUGGCCCCGUAAGUCCGCUGUGAAAGUCAAAGUCUCAACCUUUGAAAGCCGGUGGAUACUGUGGGGCUAGAGUACGGAAGAGGCGAGUGGAAUUCCUGGUGUAGCGGUGAAAUGCGCAGAUAUCAGGAGGAACACCAAUAGCGAAGGCAGCUCGCUGGGACGUUACUGACACUGAGGUGCGAAAGCGUGGGGAGCAAACAGG
rnacentral:rRNA from 1 species